rnacentral:rRNA from 1 species
CCUACGGGUGGCUGCAGUAAGGAAUAUUGGUCAAUGGAGGAAACUCUGAACCAGCCAUCCCGCGUGAAGGAUGAAGGGGCUCUGCCUUGUAAACUUCUUUUGUCUGGGGCGAAAAAGCUCGAUUUAUCGAGAACUGACGGUACCAGAAGAAUAAGCACCGGCUAACUCCGUGCCAGCAGCCGCGGUAAUACGGAGGGUGCAGGAAUUAUCGGGAAUAAAUGGUGUUAAGGGGUCCUUGUAAGUCUGUGUUGAAAGGCUGUGGCUUAACCAUGGAAUUGCCAUUGAUACUGCAGAGCUUGAAUGAGGUUGAGGUUGGCGGAAUGUGACAUGUAGCGGUGAAAUGCUUAGAUAUGUCAUGGAACACCGAUUGCGAAGGCAGCUGACUGGACCUAUAUUGACGCUGAGGCACGAAAGCGUGGGGAGCGAACAGGAUUAGAUACCCUAGUAGUC